UAUAGUAGCUCUAUAUUGUACCCUAGGUAUAGAAUAGGGAAUUCUGUACCCGAGCCAACCUACCAGCGUCCCGAUCCAACCCGCAGCAGCGCCGGCCUCGACCCGCCCUGCGCCCGGUUUGGCCUAGCAUCCGAUCCACCCGGCCAGUGCUCGGCUUUGACGACCCACCUCCGCGCCGGUUUUUCUUUCCCAGUCAUCACCCCGUUCCACCAAGCCGAUCAAUUCGCCCCUCAUCAUCAAAAAAAAUAAUAAUAAAUUCGCCCGUCGCACCGCCGCCCAUUCCGAGCUCUGCGAGGUCGAUCCGCUCUGUCACCAUCGCCCCCUAGAUCAGAUCAGUACCUGCCGCCGCCAUUGCCGUCGACCGCCGGCUAGAGUCCCGCGACCCAAUCCUAACGCGCGGGAACUCAUUCAUCAUCUUGCCAUCGUGCGUUCCGAGCUCGGCAUGGUGAUCCACUCCCGUCGUCAUUGCCCACAGGAGCUUCUUCGAUGGUGUAGCAUUUGGGCGGAUCCGGCACGGCGGCCCACUUUGAUCCAGCUGCACGCGAUGUGCGGUAGAAGCAUCCCCAGGCCCCUGCCCAGCAAUCUGCUCUUCUGAUGGAUGAGGUCUGAUUCUCCCCGCCAGCGCAAGGUGCCCUGUGUCCUUUUCCGGUCUGAUUUUAGUUGAAUUUGAUUGAUUUCUCGUGGUGGUGCCAAUGAUUUACGCAAAUAGUACAUGAAUUUUGGAAUUCGAUUGUUGCAAUCAUGGAGUUGCAGGAUAUUUUUCCUAUUUCCCAUUUGAUUCCAUGAGGCAGCACACCAGGGUGUCGAAAUCCAAGGUUAUCUUUCUGACAUGAUUCCGAUCUGAUUCAUUUCGGCACACUUUAGCUUCCGAUGUCAUAUAGUGUGACAGAAGUACAUUUCUUAUCCAAUUUCAGUUUUGUUCUUAAUAUUCAAUUCCAUCUUGCAAGACAGUUCCAGGGUAUAGGUUCCUCUAGCUCAGGUACGACAGGCCUGUGAAGCAGUAGUGCAAGACAGUUCAUGUCAGCUCACCUUGCAGCGGUCGCAGCAGCCACGUCUCCAAGGGAUGGAACCUGGCAGCUCAUCUGCUGCACCAGGAUCAGUGCCACCCCGUCCAAGGGAGCCCAUCCGCCAUGCCCGUAAAGUGUUUGACAAAAUGCUCAUGAGGGCAAGUAGUGCUGUGAUAUUUUGACAGAAGAUUUUGCAGUAUCGUUCCUUUCAGGCAUGCUCUUUCUUUCACUUAACCAGCUUGACAAAUUGGAACUGUACGAAUUGUUGAUUGUUCCUUAGACAAAGCAAAAUUUUGAAGGUAUUUAGACAAAGCAAUGCUUAACCUGUUUAGUGGACUUAAGCUGUCACUGGUUUUGUAUUCUAGAAUUCCUUUUGUCAGUAUAAAAAUUGAUAUAGUGAUGGCUGAUGAUGGAGGAUUUCUUCACUAGUCAACGCAAAAUAAUGGGCUAGUGCAGAUAAUAAGGAUGAUUUUUAUAUUUAAGAAUUGAGGAUUUCAUCAGCUAGGACUGUCACUAUCUUCUAAUAAUGGGCAGAAACGAAGCACUUCCUAUGUGCUGAUUAUAGCUGUUUCCUUGGUUCGUUCAAUCCUUUGCUGUUAAAUUUCAGCAUAUAAAUGAGAUAUAAAUGACUAGUAUACGGUUAUGAUGAUUGAUCGAGUUCUCUAGAUUGGAGUUCACAUUUCUGAACAAUCCAUUAUAGCCAAUUUUUCAGAUACAUGUGGCGACCACAUUUCUAAUUAAUUCACUGUAGUUAUCUUUUUUCAAAUUUCAAAUUGAUGUGGCCAGUGACAUUUCUAAUUAAUUCAUGUAACCAAAUUUUCAGUUUGUUGUGGCAACUUCAUUUUCCAGUAAAGAUCAAGACUGCCAUUUUUCUUGGCUUCACAUAAGAAGAUAAUGCUAUAUUGAGUACUACUGCAUCUGCACCUACAUGUCUAAUUUUUUUCACCUAUUCUAGUCCCAUUUUCCCUGUUUCAUUAUUAUAAUUACGGUUUCUUGCAGGCUCGAUAGCUAUGUAUAACGGCAUGGUGCUACAUACAGUCUGGACUUUCUUCCUUCUCAACGAUCUUUUUAGCUGACUAUUUACUGACAAUGAGGGAGUGAGAAUUCUAUCCUGGUUGAGUUCAGAACCUUCUAGUAAGAAAUAAAAAUAGUUCAUGUAAUUUCUUUACUCCUUGCCCAUUUCACCUUCUGAACGAUAUUGUUUUGAAGCUUCUGUCUUGUGGAACUAGACCUCCUAGUAAGAAAUAAAAAUAGCCUGCGUACUUUUGUUGUUACUCCUUGCUCAUUUCACCUUCUCUUCGGUGUGAUCUGAAUGUUCUGUUUGUAGCACUUUUGAUUCUAGACUAUCAUUUCGUGUGUGUUUUUGUUGUUUAUGGAUGCAGUGUUUUUUAUUUAGCGAUUCGGAUACAGGGAAGAAGGCCAGAUUAGGCCAGAAGGUGCAUGGGGAGCAGUGGUUUCAUAUAUUCCCUUGUGAUUUGGGCAUUUGGUGAGAUCAGUGAUCUCCUGAUUAACAGGAGCACCACUGGAGCAACAUCGCAGGGUGGGUGUUUCGCCGACCAGCAGUGCCCACUGCCCAGGACAUGCCGCUGGCCGCAUGAUCUCUUCUGCCAUCAUGCCACGGUCAAGUAUAAGUUCUCUUUUUGUCAGUUUUUUCUGCAUUUCAGAUGAAGUAUCAGCAAUAGCUGAAGGCCAUAUGAAGCAGGUCGACUAGCUGAUGACGACAAGGAUCAGUAGAACCAGAGGAUGACGCUUGACAUCAACAGCUGGUCUGGACAAGGAAAUGGGCCUUCAUAGGGACAAGGAGCUUUCUCUGUAUCUCUCAUUUUUAUGACGACGUAUGGUUGUGACUGGCGUAAAACUAUUGUAUUUAGGAUGCUCACGAAUAAGAUAAACCGGUUGUAGCCAAGUUAUUAUACUUACAUUUCCAAUUACUAGUUUAUGCCAGCACGAAGAUGAUGGCGUAAAACAUCUGUAUUCAAAUUGGAAAUUUCUACUAGGAUUAGGAUACCCAUGAAUGAGAUGAGCCAGUUGCUGCAGAGA